rnacentral:rRNA from 1 species
AUUGAACGCUGGCGGCAGGCCUAACACAUGCAAGUCGAGCGGAUGAGAGGAGCUUGCUUCUCGAUUCAGCGGCGGACGGGUGAGUAAUGCCUAGGAAUCUGCCUGGUAGUGGGGGACAACGUUUCGAAAGGAACGCUAAUACCGCAUACGUCCUACGGGAGAAAGCAGGGGACCUUCGGGCCUUGCGCUAUCAGAUGAGCCUAGGUCGGAUUAGCUAGUUGGUGAGGUAAUGGCUCACCAAGGCGACGAUCCGUAACUGGUCUGAGAGGAUGAUCAGUCACACUGGAACUGAGACACGGUCCAGACUCCUACGGGAGGCAGCAGUGGGGAAUAUUGGACAAUGGGCGAAAGCCUGAUCCAGCCAUGCCGCGUGUGUGAAGAAGGUCUUCGGAUUGUAAAGCACUUUAAGUUGGGAGGAAGGGUUGUAGAUUAAUACUCUGCAAUUUUGACGUUACCGACAGAAUAAGCACCGGCUAACUCUGUGCCAGCAGCCGCAGUAAUAC